rnacentral:rRNA from 1 species
CCCAGGAGCGAUAGCACGUUGAAUGAACCAGUUUCCCUUGGAUCACUGAAGUUGAGCAACGUUGCGCGUGGUUAGUAUUCAGAUGGGUGACCAUCUGGACAAUCGCAUUCUGCUGGCU